GAGGGUGCAAGCGUUAAUCGGAAUUACUGGGCGUAAAGCGCACGCAGGCGGUUGAUUGAGUCAGAUGUGAAAUCCCCGGGCUUAACCCGGGAAUUGCAUCUGAUACUGGUCAGCUAGAGUCUUGUAGAGGGGGGUAGAAUUCCAUGUGUAGCGGUGAAAUGCGUAGAGAUGUGGAGGAAUACCGGUGGCGAAGGCGGCCCCCUGGACAAAGACUGACGCUCAGGUGCGAAAGCGUGGGGAGCAAA
rnacentral:rRNA from 1 species